rnacentral:rRNA from 3 species
UACGUAGGCAGCAAGCGUUGUUCGGAAUUACUGGGCGUAAAGAGUUCGUAGGCGGUGCGGCAAGUUCGGUGUGAAAUCUCCCGGCUCAACUGGGAGGGUGCGCUAAAUACUGCCGUGCUCGAGUAUAGGAGAGGUAAGCGGAAUUCCUGGUGUAGCGGUGAAAUGCGUAGAUAUCAGGAGGAACACCUGUGGUGUAGACGGCUUACUGGACUAUAACUGACGCUGAGGAACGAAAGCGUGGGUAGCAAACAGG